rnacentral:rRNA from 1 species
UACGGAAGGCAGCAGGGGGAAUAUUGCACAAUGGGCGCAAGCCUGAUGCAGCCAUGCCGCGUGUAUGAAGAAGGCCUUCGGGUUGUAAAGUACUUUCAGCGGGGAGGAAGGCGAUGCGGUUAAUAACCGCGUCGAUUGACGUUACCCGCAGAAGAAGCACCGGCUAACUCCGUGCCAGCAGCCGCGGUAAUACGGAGGGUGCAAGCGUUAAUCGGAAUUACUGGGCGUAAAGCGCACGCAGGCGGUCUGUUAAGUCAGAUGUGAAAUCCCCGGGCUUAACCUGGGAACUGCAUUUUGAAACUGGCAGGCUUGAGUCUUGUAGAGGGGGUAGAAUUCCAGGUGUAGCGGUGAAAUGCGUAGAGAUCUGGAGGAAUACCGGUGGCGAAGGCGGCCCCUGGGACAAAGACUGACGCUCAGGUGCGAAAGCGUGGGGAGCAAACAGGGAUUAGAUACC